UACAGGGGGUGCAAACGUUGCUCGGAAUCAUUGGGCGUAAAGCGCACGUAGGCGGUUCGUUAUGUCGGAUGUGAAAGCCCUUGGCUUAACCGAGGAAGUGCAUCCGAAACUGGCGAGCUAGAGUACUAAAGAGGAUCGCGGAAUUCCCGGUGUAGAGGUGAAAUUCGUAGAUAUCGGGAGGAACACCGGUGGCGAAGGCGGCGAUCUGGGUAGAUACUGACGCUGAGGUGCGAAAGCGUGGGAGCAAACAGG
rnacentral:rRNA from 1 species